CGCUUGUUGGCUACUAAACGCAUGAGUAGCUUUGGACCCGUGUCUGCCGGUAGAUCCCCUGUUGUACUACAGCCGACUACCGGCGCCAUGUCUCGUCCCUCGUGUGGCUUCGAAUCGCUGGAUUAAGAGUGCUUGCGUGCUAGUACCCGACCUACGGGAUGUGGUGCUUCGGAUAAUUGUUGCCUCGCGGCGGACGCCGUUUGGGUGUGCCGCCGCGGCCAAAUAGCGCUUGCGGCAUUGCCUCGUGGCGCUGGCAUGUUACGUGCCUGCUGCUAUCAAGGCAACCUCGCUCCCGCUUUUGGUCUCGGAUGCUGCUAACGAUAAAGGGUCGUGGCCCUUUCGGUUGCCUCGACCCGACCCAAAGCUCUCUGAAUUGAGAACAACCGGAACAGGAGUUGCCUCUACCUCUACACAGUUACGUGUGUGACUCUCUGCGCCGGUCCUCAAGGAGGAUGAGCUGUGCCGCUCAAGAGCGACAACCGGCCUGGCUGUUUCCUCUGAGUUUCCACGAAAGUGGAAGCGUAGGACGAUGGUCGUGCUGCGCGUCACCAAGGACGUGCUACCUGGUUGAUCCUGCCAGCAGUCAUAUGCUUGUCUCAAAGAUUAAGCCAUGCAUGUGCAAUGUGGCACCCCGGCUCAGAGAAACCGGAACGCCCCGUAUUCCAGCCCAGAGAUCGAGGAGAAGUCUUCUGGAAUACGGCAUUGCUUAGCAUAGAACAAAUCAGCUCUUUAUUAAAAUCUAUAUGGGUACAAUUGGAUUACUUCGGCACGGCGACAAUACACCUGCCACAGUUGCUCCAAGCAAGCAGCAGAACAACACGAUGUAGCGGAAUGACUACUGGUAGCGGAAAAGCGACGACGGCGGUGAACUCCAGUCCGCAGGGACUCUGGCUGGAACGCUUAUCCAAGAGCGCAAACAAGGGGUCCACGGCAAACAAGCAAUCAUAUCUGGCAUGACCUACAAACUGGCAUGACACGCCAGGUCAGUACAUUGAAUGUACUUGCAAGCUCACAGCAACCAAAGCAAUCAAGACAAGCAAUAGCAUGGCAAUUAUAGAUUAUUAAGCAAUGAUUAACAUGAUUCUAUCAGAUCAACCAUAGCAUGGGCAAGAUGAUACAUCUAGAACAAUACGAGCAUGGCAUAAACAUAUGAACAUGAUGAGACUAGCAUGCCACAUGAUGAACUAUCAUGCACCAACUUACUCUGUUCGGGUUACAUCGUAACCACCACAUGUAUCACUUACCAUCACGGACAUCACACGAUCAUCUCAGGAUCCAAUCAAGCUUGGUAUUAACAAUACCGUAGUAAUCAUACAUGACCACAAGGAGCUUGAUCUUUACCCUUGACUCUCGCAUAACACCCCAAAUAUCCAACGAGUCGGUAUCCACGAUACCACAGUGAUCCUCUCACGAUCACAUAAGUAUCAACCAACUUCUUUCAUCAUCGAACCGGGGUUGUUAUUAAUCAAAUUAUUAUUACUAUUACUGUUGACCCAUAGUGUGACCGACAUGAACUGGGCACAUAUCCGCGGGCGCGGCUAUCGAUAGAUUAAACGCACACUCUGCAGAGGUUAGCACACUGUACCCACACCACGGAACCCAUGGUCUCGCACUCCCAUACGUGCGGACACGACGUUCUGACAAAACCGACCUACUGCCAUGACACUCUCCCGGCCACUCCGACAAGCUCCCCUUUGGGCUAAGUCCUGGGUAGCUAUGCGGAGCCAUCCCUCCGCAGCUAGCUUCUUAGAGGGACUAUCGCCGUUUAGGCGACGGAAGUUUGAGGCAAUAACAGGUCUGUGAUGCCCUUAGAUGUUCUGGGCCGCACGCGCGCUACANCUGGGCCGCACGCGCGCUACACUGAUGUAUUCAACGAGUAUAUAGCCUUGGCCGACAGGCCCGGGUAAUCUUGGGAAAUUUCAUCGUGAUGGGGAUAGAUCAUUGCAAUUGUUGGUCUUCAACGAGGAAUGCCUAGUAAGCGCGAGUCAUCAGCUCGCGGUGACUACGUCCCUGCCCUUUGUACACACCGCCCGUCGCUAUUACCGAUCGAAUGGUCCGGUGAAGUGUUCGGAUCGCGGCGACGGGGGCGGUUCGCCGCCUCCGACGUCGCGAGAAGUCCAUUGAACCUUAUCAUUUAGAGGAAGGAGAAGGCGUAACAAGGUUUCCGUAGGUGAACCUGCGGAAGGAUCAUUG
rfam:Triticum aestivum genome assembly, contig: Triticum_aestivum_CS42_TGACv1_scaffold_462606_5DS